GAUGAACGCUGGCGGCGUGCCUAAUACAUGCAAGUCGAGCGAACAGACGAGGAGCUUGCUCCUUUGACGUUAGCGGCGGACGGGUGAGUAACACGUAGGUAACCUACCUAUAAGACUGGGAUAACUUCGGGAAACCGGAGCUAAUACCGGAUAAUAUUUCGAACCGCAUGGUUCGAUAGUGAAAGAUGGCUUUGCUAUCACUUAUAGAUGGACCUGCGCCGUAUUAGCUAGUUGGUAAGGUAACGGCUUACCAAGGCAACGAUACGUAGCCGACCUGAGAGGGGGAAUAGGCACACUGGGAACUGGGCACGGGCCCAAAUCCCAAGGGGGGCAGGAGGGGGGAAAUUUGCCCAAUGGGGGAAAACCUGACCGAGGCAACCCGCGGGGGUGAAGAAGGGUUUUGGAUUGGAAAACCUUUUUUUUUGGGAAAAAACAAAGUGAGAAAAAACCGUGCCGGUUUGAACGGUACCAAAGAAGAAGCCCCGGGCAAACUCGUG
rnacentral:rRNA from 1 species